UACGGGGGGUGCGAGCGUUGCUCGGAAUCACUGGGCGUAAAGGGUGCGUAGGCGGGUCUUUAAGUCAGGGGUGAAAUCCUGGAGCUCAACUCCAGAACUGCCUUUGAUACUGAAGAUCUUGAGUUCGGGAGAGGUGAGUGGAACUGCGAGUGUAGAGGUGAAAUUCGUAGAUAUUCGCAAGAACACCAGUGGCGAAGGCGGCUCACUGGCCCGAUACUGACGCUGAUGCACGAAAGCGUGGGGAGCAAACAGG
rnacentral:rRNA from 1 species